rnacentral:misc_RNA from 1 species
GUUCAAUGAACGUGAAAAUCUCGCCAUCAAAAAGAUCGAGUUUCAUUGCUGUUGGCCCCCAAAAGUUUGAAAAGCGGGAAAGAGCAAUUGAUGGAGGAGAGGAUAUUGGGGCGGAUUCUGGAGGGAAACUUGGGCUCUUGGUUAGCAUCCGUUAUUGUUAUGCUGAUCUUCAUUUAGAAUAACAUCCUUAUGUUACAUUGACAUGGACAGAUUUUGUACCACAAAAUACAAACUUCGACAUGACAAGAAUUUAUUGAAGCCUUGAAUAAAAGAUAAUAUAUAGGAAAUAGGAUCCAUUCUGUUUAUUAGUAUUAAUGAACUCAGAUAAGUUCUUUGUUUUUCCCUCCAAU